GCCGCCCGCUUUCUUCUUGCCUAAUACAUGCAAGUCGAGCGAACAGACGAGGAGCUUGCUCCUCUGACGUUAGCGGCGGACGGGUGAGUAACACGUGGAUAACCUACCUAUAAGACUGGGAUAACUUCGGGAAACCGGAGCUAAUACCGGAUAAUAUAUUGAACCGCAUGGUUCAAUAGUGAAAGACGGUUUUGCUGUCACUUAUAGAUGGAUCCGCGCCGCAUUAGCUAGUUGGUAAGGUAACGGCUUACCAAGGCAACGAUGCGUAGCCGACCUGAGAGGGUGAUCGGCCACACUGGAACUGAGACACGGUCCAGACUCCUACGGGAGGCAGCAGUAGGGAAUCUUCCGCAAUGGGCGAAAGCCUGACGGAGCAACGCCGCGUGAGUGAUGAAGGUCUUCGGAUCGUAAAACUCUGUUAUUAGGGAAGAACAAAUGUGUAAGUAACUAUGCACGUCUUGACGGUACCUAAUCAGAAAGCCACGGCUAACUACGUG
rnacentral:rRNA from 1 species